rnacentral:rRNA from 1 species
UACGUAGGGUGCGAGCGUUGUCCGGAAUUAUUGGCGUAAAGAGCUCGUAGGCGGUGUGUCACGUCGGCCGUGAAAACCUGCAGCUUAACUGUGGGCGUGCGGUCGAUACGGGCAUGACUGGAGUUCGGCAGGGGAGACUGGAAUUCCUGGUGUAGCGGUGAAAUGCGCAGAUAUCAGGAGGAACACCGGUGGCGAAGGCGGGUCUCUGGGCCGAUACUGACGCUGGAGGAGC